AGUGAACGCUGGCGGUAGGCCUAACACAUGCAAGUCGAACGGCAGCACAGUAAGAGCUUGCUCUUACGGGUGGCGAGUGGCGGACGGGUGAGGAAUACAUCGGAAUCUACUUUUUCGUGGGGGAUAACGUAGGGAAACUUACGCUAAUACCGCAUACGACCUACGGGUGAAAGCAGGGGAUAUUCGGACCUUGCGCGAUUGAAUGAGCCGAUGUCGGAUUAGCUAGUUGGCGGGGUAAAGGCCCACCAAGGCGACGAUCCGUAGCUGGUCUGAGAGGACGAUCAGCCACACUGGAACUGAGACACGGUCCAGACUCCUACGGGAGGCAGCAGUGGGGAAUAUUGGACAAUGGGCGCAAGCCUGAUCCAGCCAUACCGCGUGGGUGAAGAAGGCCUUCGGGUUGUAAAGCCCUUUUGUUGGGAAAGAAAAGCAGCAGGUUAAUACCCCGCUGUUCUGACGGUACCCAAAGAAUAAGCACCGGCUAACUUCGUG
rnacentral:rRNA from 1 species